rnacentral:rRNA from 1 species
UACGUAGGGUGCAAGCGUUUGUCCGGAAUCAUUGGGCGUAAAGAGCUCGUAGGCGGCUUAGUAAGUCGGGUGUGAAAAUCCCAGGCUCAACCUGGGGACGCCACCCGAUACUGCUAUAGCUAGAGUCCAGUAGGGGAGUGUGGAAUUCCCAGUGUAGCGGUGAAAUGACGCAGAUAUUGGGAGGAACACCAGCGGCGAAGGCGGCACUCUGGGCUGGUACUGACGCUGAGGAGCGAAAGCGUGGGUAGCGAACAGG